rnacentral:rRNA from 1 species
CCUACGGGAGGCAGCAGUGAGGAAUAUUGGUCAAUGGACGAGAGUCUGAACCAGCCAAGUAGCGUGAAGGAUGACUGCCCUAUGGGUUGUAAACUUCUUUUAUAAAGGAAUAAAACGAGGCACGUGUGCCUUUUUGCAUGUACUUUAUGAAUAAGGAUCGGCUAACUCCGUGCCAGCAGCCGCGGUAAUACGGAGGAUCCGAGCGUUAUCCGGAUUUAUUGGGUUUAAAGGGAGCGUAGAUGGGUUGUUAAGUCAGUUGUGAAAGUUUGCGGCUCAACCGUAAAAUUGCAAUUGAUACUGGCAGUCUUGAGUACAGUUGAGGUAGGCGGAAUUCGUGGUGUAGCGGUGAAAUGCUUAGAUAUCACGAAGAACCCCGAUUGCGAAGGCAGCUUACUAAACUGUGACUGACAUUGAUGCACGAAAGCGUGGGUAGCAAACAGGAUUAGAUACCCUGGUAGUC